rnacentral:lncRNA from 1 species
CUGGGAGGGUCUCGCUCAUCUGUUGCUCUUCAAAGAAAAGUGUUAGUUGCUUCCGAAAAAAAAAAAAUUGGGAAGAAGCAGAGCCCCAGCAGUGACACGGGGACCCUGGGCAGAUGGAGCAGUGCCCACAGGACUGUGUUGUGCUGGCAGGGAUGGAUGCAGGUGGGAGCGGCUGUGGUUGGACUGCACAGCACUCAUUGCUGGAGGUCUUGCUGAAGAACCUCAUGGAAAAUUCUGUGUUGCCUGCCUGGAAUUCCCUGCCUGGUGCCAACACGGUGUAUAUUUAAGCGAGUGUCACACCCGACCAUCGAGGGCUGCAUCGCCAGCACCGUCUGCAGCCCAGAGAGCCCAGGGCAAAUGCUUGGCCAGAGGAAAUGCAGCAAGAGCUGAUUUACACCUACUGGGAUGGACCACCACUGACCUCCAUCGCCGAUUCCCGCUGCCACGGGGAAAAUCACUCCGCUGCUCUUCCUCCCUUUGCUCAUUUGGAAGACGGGGUAAUAAUCCCCGUCACCUAUUUGCGAGGCUGUUGUGAAUUUUCAUGAGCUCCCAUCUGAACGGGGCUUUGAGCAGGAAAACUGCUGUAUCAGCUCUAGGCAAUGAUAAACAAUACUCAGCAUUUACAUAUUCAAAGCACUUUGAUUAACUCUUGGGGUUUAAGGACUUGAGUCGAUUCCCACCCGACCGUAAUGGCAGCUGGAC